GAUGAACGCUGGCGGCGUGCCUAACACAUGCAAGUCGAACGAAGCAUAUUGGAAUGAGGCCUCGGCCAAAGGAAGGUAUGACUUAGUGGCGGACAGGUGAGUAACGCGUGAGCAACCUGCCUCAGAGAGGGGGACAACAGCUGGAAACGGCUGCUAAUACCGCAUAAUUACUUUGGAAGGCAUCUUUCGAAAGUCAAAGAUUUAUCGCUCUGAGAUGGGCUCGCGUCUGAUUAGAUAGUUGGUGAGGUAACGGCUCACCAAGUCGACGAUCAGUAGCCGGACUGAGAGGUUGAACGGCCACAUUGGGACUGAGAUACGGCCCAGACUCC
rnacentral:rRNA from 1 species